CCCAUCAAUAUGGGUAUCAAAUGAGAGGGCUCAACAAGCAGAAUACAAUAUACUAUAAAAAAUUGAAAUCCAAGAUGGCGGCCGCUACAAAAUGGCGGAUAACGUAGGUUUUAUCAAUCCCAUCAAUAUGGGUAUCAAAUGAAAGGGCUCAACAAGCAGAAUACAAUAUACUAUAAAAAAUUGAAAUCCAAGAUGGCGGCCGCUACAAAAUGGCGGAUAACUUAGGUUUUAUCAAUCCCAUCAACAUGGAUAUCAAAUGAAAGGUCUCAACAAGUAGAAUACAAUUUACUAUGCAAAAUUGAA
rnacentral:misc_RNA from 1 species